UGUAAACUGACCAUUGUGCAGUUGUGCAAGAGUGUCUAUAGUACACAGAUAAGUGAAAGUGCAGAGUGCAGAUGUAUGCAAAUGUCCAUUGUUUUUUUGUUUUGUUUUUGAUUUCCUUCUUUCCUGUAGUUAUGGGGUAGGAAGGCAGUUUAUGAUGGGAGUAGUAUACUGGGUGGUAUCAGCUUAUUCAGGAUUCUGACAGCCUGGGGAAAAAGCUGUUGCCGUGCAGGUCCUGAUGCUGCGUAGUCUUCUGUCUGAUGGCAGAGGGUCAAACAGAUGGUGGGGGGGUGAGACGAAUCUUUCACAAUGGCAGAGGCUCUGCGUACACAGCGUGCCUGAUAGAUGUCCUGGAUUGAGGGGAGGGAGAUCCGUAUGAUCCUCUCAGCUGUCCUCACUAUGCGCUGGAGGGUCUAUUGUUCUGCUGUUUUGCAGUUUCCAAACCACACAGUGAUGCAGCUGGCCAGGACGCUCUCCACAGUUCCUCUGUAGAGGGUGUUCAGGAUGUGUGGCGGGAGGCUGGCUCUCUUCAGUUUUCGCAGGAAGUGAAGACAUUGUUGCGCCUUCUUCACAGUGAAACUGGUGUUGAUGGACCAGUUUCUUUGCAAGUCAAACUGAGGACGUCACUGAAGAUCUGCAUUCUUGUUAAGGGUUGGGAACCGAGAACCGGUUCUUAUUCAGGUUCUUAAGUUUCGUUUCCAAAAACGGUUCUGGUGUGACACGUGACCAGGCGCUGUGAGCAGCCUUGCGUUGGUGUUCUGACGAAUCGAUUCGGCGUUUCCCGUGAAACAUGUCACAAACCAAAUAACAGAAACACCGCCCUGCCUCUUUAAUUACUGAGCACAUUGUUUCCAGUGAAGCGCACUCCACAGUUACAGUAACUACAUAACACACGUUUCCCACAACUGUACGCGCACGCGCCUUUGAUAACUGUGCACGUCUUUUUGUCGUUUUGUCUGCCGCCACUUAAUUACAUUAUAUUUGUCCUAUAUUCUCAUUAAUAUACAUACUGACUUCAACUUGGACCACUAAAUAAAUAGACUGCUAUUGUUAUGUAAGUAUUAGAUUAUUAGAGGGUUAGAUUAUUUAGUGUACAGGUCAUUUCAAGAGAGAUAAAUAAAGUGAUAGAAAAUAUGUAUUUUCAUGCAUUUUAAAUGUUUAAAAAUGAGGAAACCAUUCAUUUCAUCACACCAUCUCCUGACUGCAUUAUUAUUUGUAAUAUAGGGGCUUUAUGGAGUGUGUGUAUACAUGGUUAUAAGUAUAACAGUUUAUAUUUCAUUAAUUUAGGGAAAUAAACAAGUGUCUUAGCCCUCAAGGGACUAUUUGGCCAACCAGCUUAUUCCUGCUUGAAAAGCAAAAUGUUACUGAUAGUGUAAAAAACAUCAACUUUGAAGCACAUGCUGAUUGAUGGACUAGAAUUACUCAACAUUACUUACUACCUUCCAGCAACACUACAUUCAAUGAAGGUAAAAUAGUAAAAAAACAUAAUAAUAGUUCAUUUAAAUGGAAUCGGAACUGGAAAAUUUGUAUACUGUAAUACAUGUUGAAUUUUGACAUUGCCAACCUUUAAAUUAAGUUGAUAGUAAGUAAUAAACAGUAUUGAGCACUGAGUAGUUAAGUAUUGUGCAUUUUUCCUCACCACUAUUUUCUUAAUAGUUGUUUAAUGAUUUUAAUGGAAUCGGAACCUGAAAAUUUCUAACGAUACCCAACCCUACUUGUCACGUUCAGCUGAUGAUAAGACUGACACCUGAAAAAUGCUGUAAAGUGAGAAUGUGUUUCUGUGUUUGUGAAACAUGCACUAACAAGCACAGCACUGUGUUUACAUGAAGUAUGACAGAAGACAAGAAUAUUACUGAGUUAAUAUGACAGUAUCUGUUACAUUUGUCUUCAUUGUUCAGUGGUAUAACUGAAGUGUUAAAUGUCAUGAUGCAGUGUUUAUACUCUUAAAUGUCUCUUGAGUUUGGUGUUUGUUCUGUGUUGUAGGUUUAGUGUGAGACAGUGAUUGAACGAGGGUGGGUUGGCUUUUUCUUUUUUAACAAAUUAAGCUGUGUGUGUGUAUAUGUGUGUGAGAGAGAGAGAGAGAGAGAUCUUGUAGACAGCAUAUUGCAAACACUGAACCAAAGAGGAAAUUUUGUUGGGAUUGGGAAUCAAAUACAUUUUCUAAUUUAUUAUUCAUAUCUGAACCAUUUCACAGAAAUCAUUAUGAUUCUGUGACUUCUCUGAAUCUUCUUCAUCAGUUUGACUGUAGAAGAGAGAAGAUUCACACGGUCUGUCAAGACAGGCUUCAACAAAACUGUUUUAGCAAACUAAAAAGGAAAUGAUAAGAGAUUGAAAUUCAUAAACUAUAAUUGCCCUUCAUUGUAUGUUAAUGUUUUUGAGAUUUCAAAUAAAGGAACAGCUGAAACUAAUCCUCUGCUGACCUCUGCAGGUCAUUAAUGUCCAUAAUUAGUUCAGAAAUAAGUUACAGCUCAUCUUGCAUGUGCUCAUGAUGACACGCUGCACGUUGUUCAGUUAUAUAGAAGCUGUUAGAGACCUAAAUAUCCUUUCACAAUGUUAUUAAUGUCAUUUCAUUUGUCAUUUGAAAACCAGAUUCCAUGAAUAAAUCGUGUUUUUAAAUAAACUGGAACUUCC
ensembl:lncRNA